GAAAGAUUCCGGUUUUGGGG
rnacentral:tRNA from 1 species